GACGAACCGUGCGAACGUUGUUCGGAAUCACUGGGCUUAAAGGGCGCGUAGGCGGACCACCAAGUCCGGGGUGAAAUCCUUCGGCUUAACCGGAGAAUUGCCUGGGAUACUGGUGGUCUUGAGGGAGGUAGGGGCACGCGGAACUUCCGGUGGAGCGGUGAAAUGCGUUGAUAUCGGAAGGAACGCCGGUGGCGAAAGCGGCGUGCUGGCCCUCUUCUGACGCUGAGGCGCGAAAGCUAGGGGAGCAAACGGG
rnacentral:rRNA from 1 species